GUACAUCAAAUAUAGGGUGAUGAUUUUGAAAAGAAUCACCACUGGGAAAACACACGCGUUCCCGACCUGCAUACACAUUAAGCAUUAAUUGAAAAACUAGACGAAAAAACGAAAACAAGUUUUGUAUUAAGUCAGGUCUUAUAACCAAAUAAGUGCUUGCCUGACGUUUACGAGAUUAUAGCAUGACUGGAAACGCAAUUAUUCUAAUUUUCUACUGAGGUGAAACAAAUGCCUGCAAGGAUGAGUUUGACAGCUCGAUACAAAUCUAUAAAAUAUUUAUAUUGAUAAUGACAUCUUAUUAAAAUAAGUUUACUAUUAAUUAUUGUACUAUAAUUUAGGAGUACACAAUUUAUA